rnacentral:rRNA from 1 species
AUUGAACGCUGGCGGCAGGCCUAACACAUGCAAGUCGAACGGUAACAGGAAGAAGCUUGCUUCUUUGCUGACGAGUGGCGGACGGGUGAGUAAUGUCUGGGAAACUGCCUGAUGGAGGGAGAUAACUACUGGAAACGGUAGCUAAUACCGCAUAACGUCGCAAGACCAAAGAGGGGGACCUUCGGGCCUCUUGCCAUCGGAUGUGCCCAGAUGGGAUUAGCUAGUAGGUGGGGUAACGGCUCACCUAGGCGACGAUCCCUAGCUGGUCUGAGAGGAUGACCAGCCACACUGGAACUGGGACACGGUCCAGACUCCUACGGGGGGCAGCAGGGGGGAAUAUUGCACAAGGGGCGAAAGCCUGAUGCCGCCAUGCCGCGUGUAUGAAAAAGGCCUUGGGGUUGUAAAGUACUUUCAGGGGGGAGGAAGGGAUUAAAGUUAAUCCCUUUGCUCAGUGACUGUACCCGAAAAAGAAGCCCCGGCAAACCCCG